AUGGGCUUCUCCAUGGGCGGCGAGAUCAUGUGGAGCUGCCUCAAGCACAUCCCGCACAGGCUCGCCGGCGUGGCCAUUCUCGCGCCGGUAGGCAACUACUGGUGGUCCGGCCUGCCGCCGGACGUGUACCAGGAGGCGUGGUACGUGCAGUUCCCGCAGGACCGAGCCGCCGUCUGGGUCGCCCACCACCUCCCGUGGCUGGCCAACUGGUGGAACACCCAGAGACUGUUCCCAAGCUCCAGCGUCAAGGCCCGGAACCCCGCCAUAUACUCCAAGGAAGACAAGCCGCUCACCGCCAAGUUCGCCCAGCGAGCCCACAAUAAGCAGGUCACGCAGCAAGGGGAGCACGAGUCCCUGCACCGGGACAUGAUCGUCGGGUUCGGGAAGUGGGGAUGGAGCCCGCUGCAGCCGGGCAACGCGUUCGCCGGCGUCGGCGACGAUGUGAAGGUGCACCUGUGGCACGGAGUCGAGGACCUGUUCGUGCCUGUUGCCCUGUCGCGGUACAUCAGCAAGAGGCUCCCCUGGGUGAUCUACCACGAGCUCCCGACGGCCGGCCACCUGUUCCCGGUCGCCGACGGGAUGCCCGAUGUCAUUGUCAAAUCGCUGCUGCUCGGAGACGGGUGA
rnacentral:rRNA from 1 species